GAUGAACGCUGGCGGCGUGCCUAAUGCAUGCGAGUCGAGCGAACAGACGAGGAGCUUGCUCCUCUGACGUUAGCGGCGGACGGGUGAGUAACACGUGGAUAACCUACCUAUAAGACUGGGAUAACUUCGGGAAACCGGAGCUAAUACCGGAUAAUAUAUUGAACCGCAUGGUUCAAUAGUGAAAGACGGUUUUGCUGUCACUUAUAGAUGGAUCCGCGCCGCAUUAGCUAGUUGGUAAGGUAACGGCUUACCAAGGCAACGAUGCGUAGCCGACCUGAGAGGGUGAUCGGCCACACUGGAACUGAGACACGGACCAGACUCCUACGGGAGGCAGCAGUAGGGAAUCUUCCGCAAUGGGCGAAAGCCUGACGGAGCAACGCCGCGUGAGUGAUGAAGGUCUUCGGAUCGUAAAACUCUGUUAUUAGGGAAGAACAAAUGUGUAAGUAACUAUGCACGUCUUGACGGUACCUAAUCAGAAAGCCACGGCUAACUACGUG
rnacentral:rRNA from 1 species